CACGUAGGCGGAUAGGUCAGUCAGAUGUGAAAGCCCGGAGCUUAACUCCGGAACUGCAUUUGAUACUACUUGUCUUGAGUAUGGUAGAGGGGGGUGGAAUUCCCGGUGUAGAGGCGAAAUUCGUAGAUAUCGGGAGGAACACCAGAGGCGAAGGCGACCCCCUGGGCCAUAACUGACGCUGAGGUGCGAAAGCGUGGGGAGCAAACA
rnacentral:rRNA from 1 species